CCUACGGGAGGCAGCAGUGAGGAAUAUUGGUCAAUGGGCGAGAGCCUGAACCAGCCAAGUAGCGUGAAGGAUGACUGCCCUAUGGGUUGUAAACUUCUUUUAUAUGGGAAUAAAACAGGUUAUGCAUACCCCCUUGUAUGUACCAUAUGAAUAAGGAUCGGCUAACUCCGUGCCAGCAGCCGCGGUAAUACGGAGGAUCCGAGCGUUAUCCGGAUUUAUUGGGUUUAAAGGGAGCGUAGGUGGAUUGUUAAGCCUGUUGUGAAAUGUUGCGGCUCAACCGUAAAAUUGCAGUUCAAACUGGCAGUCUUGAGUACAGUAGAGGUAGGCGGAAUUCGUGGUGUAGCGGUGAAAUGCUUAGAUAUGACGAAGAACUUCGAUUGCGAAGGCAGCUUACUGGACUGGAACUGACACUGAUGCUCGAAAGUGUGGGUAUCAAACAGGAUUAGAUACCCGAGUAGUC
rnacentral:rRNA from 1 species